UUUUUCCCAUUCUUUCCAUUUUCUUCUCCAACUUAUUUAGAUCGUUGCAUGCAUGUUGAAGGAGGAAACUUGGAUCUCUUUGGUUCUAUUUUGUUUUGUUCCUUUUUGUUUUUCCUUUUUCCAUUUCUUUGUUUUUUUUAUUUGAAAGAAAAUAUGUUUAGAAAAGGAUAUAGAGAAAUUCGAAUAUGAAAAAAAAAUUGAAAAAGUUUUUGUUUUAUUUGGAAUAAUAUUUUUUUUUUAAAAGGAUCAAAGGUGGUUGUGUAUACCGGCCAC
rnacentral:lncRNA from 1 species